rnacentral:rRNA from 1 species
UGGAUCCAGACUUUGAUCCUGGCUCAGGACGAACGCUGGCGGCGUGCCUAACACAUGCAAGUCGAGCGGAGACAGUGAGUAGCUUGCUACGAGCUGUUUUAGCGGCGGACGGGUGAGUAACGCGUGAGCAACCUUUCCCAGACAGGGGAAUAACACACCGAAAGGUGUACUAAUACCGCAUAAGACCACGGGAUCACAUGGUUCUGAGGUAAAAGAUUUAUCGGUUUGGGGUGGGCUCGCGUCCGAUUAGGUAGUUGGUGAGGUAACGGCCCACCAAGCCGACGAUCGGUAGCCGACCUGAGAGGGUGAUCGGCCACAUUGGGACUGAGACACGGCCCAAACUCCUACGGGAGGCAGCAGUGGGGAAUAUUGGGCAAUGGGGGGAACCCUGACCCAGCAACGCCGCGUGGAGGAAGAAGGUUUUCGGAUCGUAAACUCCUGUCCUUGGAGACGAGUAGAAGACGGUAUCCAAGGAGGAAGCCCCGGCUAACUACGUGCCAGCAGCCGCGGUAAUACGUAGGGGGCAAGCGUUGUCCGGAAUAAUUGGGCGUAAAGGGCGCGUAGGCGGCUCGGUAAGUCUGGAGUGAAAGUCCUGCUUUUAAGGUGGGAAUUGCUUUGGAUACUGUCGGGCUUGAGUGCAGGAGAGGUUAGUGGAAUUCCCAGUGUAGCGGCGAAAUGCGUAGAGAUUGGGAGGAACACCAGUGGCGAAGGCGACUAACUGGACUGUAACUGACGCUGAGGCGCGAAAGUGUGGGGAGCAAACAGGAUUAGAUACCCUGGUAGUCCACACUGUAAACGAUGAAUGCUAGGUGUAGGGGGUAUCGACCCCUUCUGUGCCGCAGUUAACACAAUAAGCAUUCCGCCUGGGGAGUACGGCCGCAAGGUUGCAACUCAAAGGAAUUGACGGA